AACCCACUGUCUGUGCUGUUUCCCUCCUGUCCCCAGAACUGUCCCCACAGCCCCCACCAUGCAGUCUGCCCUCACUUUGGUUUCCAUCCUGACCCUGCUCCAAGGUGUCCAGGGUGAGAUCCAGCUGAUGGAGUCCGGUGGAGAUGUGAGACAGCCUGGGGGGUCUCUGCGCCUUUCCUGUAAAGCCUCUGGAUUCACCUUCAGCAACUACUAUAUGCACUGGGUCCGCCAGGCUCCAGGGAAGGGGCUGGAGUGGCUUGCUUGGAUCAAUACUGGUGGGAGCAGCACAAGCUAUGCCGACUCCGUGAAAGGCCGAUUCACCAUCUCCAGAGACAACGCCAACAGCCUGCUGCAUCUGCAGAUAAACAGCCUGAAGACUGAGGACAUGGCCCUGUAUUACUGUGCAAAAGACAGACACAGUGAAAGAAACCACAUCCUGAGCCUGUCAGAAACCCUGGGAAACCCAGAGAGCAGAGAAGCAGUGACCUCAGACCUCAGCCUCAAGUCUUAA